CAGGGGAAGAGGCCCUGGUCUUGACGCGU
rnacentral:piRNA from 1 species